CAUGCAAGUCGUACGGUAAGGUCCCUUCGGGGAUACACGAGUGGCGCACGGGUGCGUAACGCGUAUGCAACCUACCCAUAACUGGAGAAUAGCUUCCGGAAACGGAAAUUAAUACUCCAUAACAUCACAUAUUCGCAUGUUUAUGUGAUUAAAGCUUCGGCGGUUAUGGAUGGGCAUGCGUGACAUUAGUUAGUUGGUGAGGUAACGGCUCACCAAGACGGCGAUGUCUAGGGGUCCUGAGAGGGUUAACCCCCACACUGGUACUGAGACACGGACCAGACUCCUACGGGAGGCAGCAGUAAGGAAUAUUGGUCAAUGGGCGAAAGCCUGAACCAGCCAUGCCGCGUGCAGGAUGACAGCCCUACGGGUUGUAAACUGCUUUUCUGCAGGACAAACCUCCCCAACGUGUUGGGGACUGAUGGUACUGCAGGAAUAAGCAUCGGCUAACUCCGUGCCAGCAGCCGCGGUAAUACGGAGGAUGCAAGCGUUAUCCGGAUUUAUUGGGUUUAAAGGGUACGUAGGCGGAUUUGCAAGUCAGUGGUGAAAUCUCCCGGCUCAACCGGGAACUGCCAUUGAAACUGUUAAUCUUGAGUACAUAUGAAGUGGGCGGAAUACCGUAUGUAGCGGUGAAAUGCAUAAAUAUGC
rnacentral:rRNA from 1 species